AAAACUGAAGAGUAAACGUGGAAAACCUGCCCAGAAGCGGGGGAUAACACCUGGAAACAGAUGCUAAUACCGCAUAACAACUUGGACCGCAUGGUCCGAGCUUGAAAGAUGGCUUCGGCUAUCACUUUUGGAUGGUCCCGCGGCGUAUUAGCUAGAUGGUGGGGUAACGGCUCACCAUGGCAAUGAUACGUAGCCGACCUGAGAGGGUAAUCGGCCACAUUGGGACUGAAACACGGCCCAAACUCCUACGGGAGGCAGCAGUAGGGAAUCUUCCACAAUGGACGAAAGUCUGAUGGAGCAACGCCGCGUGAGUGAAGAAGGGUUUCGGCUCGUAAAACUCUGUUGUUAAAGAAGAACAUAUCUGAGAGUAACUGUUCAGGUAUUGACGGUAUUUAACCAGAAAGCCACGGCUAACUACGUGCCAGCAGCCGCGGUAAUACGUAGGUGGCAAGCGUUGUCCGGAUUUAUUGGGCGUAAAGCGAGCGCAGGCGGUUUUUUAAGUCUGAUGUGAAAGCCUUCGGCUCAACCGAAGAAGUGCAUCGGAAACUGGGAAACUUGAGUGCAGAAGAGGACAGUGGAACUCCAUGUGUAGCGGUGAAAUGCGUAGAUAUAUGGAAGAACACCAGUGGCGAAGGCGGCUGUCUGGUCUGUAACUGACGCUGAGGCUCGAAAGUAUGGGUAGCAACAGGAUUAGAUACCCUGUAGUCCAUACCGUAAACGAUGAAUGCUAAGUGUUGGAGGGUUUCCGCCCUUCAGUGCUGCAGCUAACGCAUUAAGCAUUUCGGCUGGGGAGUACGGCCGCAAGGCUGAACUCAAAGGAAUUGACGGGGGCCCGCACAAGCCGUGGAGCAUGUGUUUAAAUUCGAGCUACGCGAAGAAUCCUUACCAGGUCUUUGACAUACUAUGCAA
rnacentral:rRNA from 2 species